rnacentral:tRNA from 1 species
AACCAUGUAGAGCAUUGGAGCGUAAAUCCAAAGGUCCCGGGUUCGAUUCCCGGCGAGAUUG